CCUGCCUAGCUGGUAUAAUACAUUACGCUUCCAGUUCGUAUCCAGGACACCGGGUGUUCUAAAAACAUUUGCUUGCAAAUAACGCAAAAGCUACUACUUUGCCGAUAUUAUUAAUAUGUAGCAAGAAGUUACGAUUACAUAAAGAUAUAUAAACUACGUUGUACAUAAAGCUAAUGAGAUACGUUGCGAUGCGUUUAACUUGGUCAGUACUUAAGAAUUCAGCUUAAUUGGCAUAAAGCGAAAAAUAUGGUUGAAUUAUAAAAUUACAUGAUACUUGCUAAUUCUAACUUAUCGGUUCUAUCAAAUUACCGUCAUAGUAACAAAUUUCGGAAAUAUUUGCAUACAUAACUAUAAAAAUUAAUGCGUGUGCUAUAAGCUUAAAUCUUAAAUCUUAUAUGCUUAUACAAGUAGUAUUAACAUCUUUCUGAAAUCAAAUCUACGCGUUAUAUGAAAUACAAAUACUGUGAACGAUAUUACUACUAUUUUACCAUUAAACGUGAACUUUAGACAAUAUUGUAAUACAAAAAUUUGUUUAUAUUUAUAUUGUGAUAUAAUACUUAAUUUGUAUCAACGUAUAUUAAUAGAUAAAAACAAAACAAACGUUAUAUUAUAUUAAUACCAAGAAAUUAUAAAAUGUGAAAGUAAUUCCAAGAAUUUUGAUCUGUUGGUACAUUUAGGCAUAUUCUUUGAAAUUCUUGUGUUCUGUUUUCAAUGCGUCUAUUUAUACGAAUUACUAUAUAUAAUUAUUCUAGAUAAAAUAUAAUCGAAUACUAUGUAUUAUAGUAUUGCCGCAUGUACACAUAUUUUCGACUUUAAAUAUAGGUAUACACAUAUCGCUAAACGAUGUAAAAACUUAAAAUUGAACAGAAGCAAAAAGCAGUUCAAAAAUAUUAACUACUUGAGGAGGAUAUCGCCAUAAUGGUAGCAGUCAAAACUUAUCUUCAAAUUGUAAAUAUUUAUUGCUUCGAAUAGUUGGCAGUGCCACUAAAAAAAUAUUCCGAACGCAAAGUAUCUAUCAUACAUGCAUAGUUAUUAUAACAGUAACUAAAUUUGUUUAACGUUCAUUUAAAACAGUAGAUAUUAAAUUAAUAGAAAUACAAGAAAAGUAUGAAUUCCUAAGUAAAAAAAUAAAUAAAAAUGAAUAAAUCCUAUCGUACUAUUUCCAACAUUGGUAAAGAUUUCAGUUGCAAUUGGUCAACUUUUGACAUAAAAGUACUGUUAUAUAAUUAUUAUAACAUAGAAUAACUGAAACAAGUAAAAAGUAACGAAGAAAUGAUUUAGGAGAUUCAUAAAAUUGAACAUGGAUAUACUAUAUACUAUAGCAAUAUGGAUAUUGUAUAGCAGGACUUAAUUAUUAUUUAACCCUAAACUAAACAACCUUCAAGUUGAAUAUGAACAUUUUCAAUGAAUUUCAUUUGAAAUAAAAAACGCUAGCUCGUGAUAAAGCUAAAAUAUAUAAGCUGUUUGUUGAAAUCUAGCCAUGAAAUUAGAUGAAAACGUUAAUAAAACAAGAAAAAGACGGUCGCCAAGACAAUUGCCUUUCAAUUAAAUUGAUAGACACAUAUUCAUAUGCGGUAGCACAUGUUGAUAUUGUAGUUAGAUGAGCUGACGCGUGACAAUGAGUUCAGUGCUGACAACGGUAGUCUUCUCUCCCUGCCACUCAAAGCCUCUCAGGUAAUGCGAUCCCGGCAGCCUAAAUAAACAGGUUAGAAUAAAUAAGAGCUAUUCUAAACGUCAGUUCAGUGUUUGCCUAGCUGUCAGAGAAGUGAAGGGCACUCUCAGUCUCGAAUGGAUAUCGAAUCGGCCGUUUACAGCCCUCUUUCCGCACGUUGCGUAUACCAUCGUCCACCAGUGGCAUUUCAGUGAUAUUUUUAUCAAUGGGCCACCGUCAUUCAUGAAAAUCUUGAAGGAAAGGAUAAAUAUAUUGGUCUAAGUUCCCUAAAAUUAUUUCCGGUAUACGUUUUUAUCAUAGAUACGUACGUUUAUCUUUACAGAUUACGAAUAGUGAUUGAUUUACUAACGACAAACAGGAAGCAUAAGUUAUGAGUAUAUUCAACACCGUCGCAGAUACUGAUGUUUUAUCCAAUAUUCUGUAAUAUUUUGGUGAACCUAUCGAUGUAUUAUGUCCUCACCGAUUUAGAUACCUUUUUGAUGUGUUGUAGAAAUCGAUAUUUUGAACAAUUUUUUCCUAUAAAUAUUGUAUAACCGGCGCUCUCGCUUAGUUCUCGAGAUAUUUGCAAAAAAUUGUCGAUACCACCACAAUAAAUUCGUAAUUGUGCGUCCGUAGUAACAUAUGUGUUAGAAUUGGUUGCCGCCCGCCUAACGGCGGCCGGAUUAAAUGACGACUAACCCAAACCUAAUUCUUAUGUUUUGCUUAUAGUUUACAUAAAGAUACGAACUUAGUUUGGGUUAAGUGUCAUGUAAUCCGACCGCCACGUCGCGUCGUAAGGCCGUCGACAACCAAUACUACUAACACAAACGCAAAAUUAUAGACAGAAUUCAGUGUGUUAGCACUGGCAGUUUUGCGCGAAUAUCUCAGAAAUUAAGCAUACCUGCCAGUUAUACGUGUAGGAAAAAGUUGUUCACAAUAUUAAUUUGUACAACAUAUCCAAAAGUCAUCAAAAUCGAUGAUGACGUAACACUUCGAUAGAUUACCAUCAUGUAAGAAUUACCUUGAAAUGACAAUCAUCAAUUUUAUUCAAGCGUUGAAGAUCAUCAUUAAAGUUAUUGAUGAUAGAAAGUAUGACAGAGAAUGUAUCUUCAAAUGAUGGAUUUAGCUGUGUAAACAGAUUUAAUCAAAACUUAUUUGCUUAAGAAUUCAGAAUUAUUACAUUUUAUCAGUAUUUUUCUACAAAAUGUAAUAACAUAUCUUUUACGUAUUAUGAAUCAUUUAAAAUUUAAAUGAAAUCGUUAAAUCUAAAUAAAAUAAAACGAUACAAAAAUUAGACUUAAUUCAUCGAUACCGGACAGUGAAAAAAUUGAGUCAAAAGAGCCGUAGGUAUUCUAAUGAAGAGUAUACGAUAUCGGUAGAUGCCGAUAACACUGAUUCCAGAUGCAGCAAUCGUCGAGACGAAUCGCGAAAGAUUGCAAAACGGAGCAUCAGCGAAAGAAGCAAAUAAAAUUGACAGUUGACGUCUGUCUGCGUGCUCCUCUCGCUCGUAGCCUCUCUGUAGCCUGUCUGUCAGCAUGACACCGAGCGACGCCUUCUUUAUUAUACAUUCAAUUAUUAGGCGCUGCGCAUGACAAGCGCUAUUGCAUAUUUAUAUCUACCAGCCGAAGCGAGUUCAGCCGGAUAAGAGGGUUCCUGACAACCCGUCACGAACAUACGUUAACAUUCUUAAUAACGCACUCCUCUAUAUACGUAUACAUCUACAUAUCUAACCACAUAUACAGAAAUUUACACAUUCUUACAGGUAAAAAAGUAUGCUACGUACAUGAGGAUAUAAAAUACACGUUUACAUAGUGGCAGUGUACAUGCAGAAACCUUACUGCUGCGGUAUAAUUUCAAUACACGAGGAAGCUAUCAACCUUUAUAACCUGUUUAUUACGAUAAUACCGUAAAUUUGCAUCGCGUGUUCUCCGUAAUCGCUUGCCGUGGCGGAUGUCAUAUUACGUUAACUACAGUAGUUAAAUAGGCAUCUCGGGAAUAGGCCCAAACUGGUAUACCAAGGAAUUUGCGUUCUCCCUAUGCUAUGAUACACACAUAUAUAUAAUAUGUACCACAUGCGAAUAUAUGAGUGAAAUUAAUUUUUCCUGCUGUUGGUUAUAUAGAAAAUGAAAAAAUGUCAGUUUAGUUUCCUAUACUCCGCGUAUACGUAUUUAUGUGUGUUUCUGCUACAAGUUUCUACAAUUUCUAAAAUAAUUAAUACACGAUACUAUUCCAUGAAUCGUACAAAUGUUUGCAAUGCUCGAAGUUUUAUGAAAGCUGUUUUACAAAAUGGCAAUAUUUAUGUUACUCGUACUCCUGGUAGAAAAAUCAGAGCCAAGGUAGUAGCUUUUUCGUCAACAAAAUGCUGAACUCCGAUCGUAUAUCAGACACCGCCCACGGCGACCGUAGCUCCAUAAAAAGAACAAAAACUUUCUUAUUUUCCCUGGCCAUGGCCGCCUGCUUUGAUAUACGAUACGUUUGUACCGUGUCGGCCAAAGCCUUCGAAAGCCGACCAUCUACCAAACAGCAUUUUUAUGCUAAACUGGUCGGUGCAACUGACAAGAAUUGACAGAAUUCGAAAAACAGCUGACAGUCCGCCACGGGACCGCUUUUCUAUCCAUCGGCGGUAAAUUUUAAACUGUCUUUCGGCCACUUUUUUCUCCUGCCUUGCAAAACGAACGCUAGAACGUUCGUAUCCACUAUUAUAUAUAUGCGGAUCUUUUGCUAUUGUGCAUCUGCUAACGUAAUGCCACGAACGAAAUUCGUGAAUAUGCCGAUUUUAUUUAUCACUGGAAUUAAUUGUAAGCAACAUACUGCUUAAAAUAUUAGUAACAUCGUUCAACAUAAUACACACUUAAAAAAUGUAAGGAAAAUCGUCAUUAUCUGGAUUUUAAUUUGUACCAUGUAUGCAACAAUACAUAUUCAGCUAUUUAAUAUUAAUAUUUAUGUACUUUAUUAUAUACUAUUCGAACUAAAAAUUACAUUCGUUACAUUAUAAAACAUUUAACACUUUAAAAGCUACAACAUGCUCUUUGGAACAUAAAGACGUUGCCCAAUUACUGAAUUAUUAAACGAUAUAAAUUUAUCGUCAUUGUUACUACUAAUAAGUUCGUAUAUAUAUAUGUGUGUGUGGUGUAUAUGUAUAUGUAUAAUUACAUAUUACUAAUUAUGUAAUACAUAUAUACGUAAUUUCACAAAAGUAUUCAGAAAGUAUCAGACAUUGUCUCUUUGUUGACGUUGUGUCAAUUAUCAUUAUAUCAUGCUGUUUGAAGUGUCUUUAACGCAUAUUUGUGUUUGACUUCGAACGGUUCAGAGAUAACUCAACGCGAUGACAAAAAACUAAUUUCUGUUAAUCACGCUAUUACAUGUCAGCGGUCAAUUUGCCACACCUAAACGGUGACACAAGGAGAGAUGUAAUCGCUACGUUACCACCGAUAUAUUCACUAACUGUUAAGGCGGUAUUACAUCGCAAAGAAGCUUAUGUUCAACGUGCAACAUAUUGGUAGCCAUGUAAUAUGAUCUUAGUUAAUCUUACUUACGCAACUUCUUCGAGUUUCAACGUAAAAAAGAAACUGGGAGUUCGAUAUACCUUUCAAUCACAGGAUCGAGCAUUCAUAUUAUAAACCGUAUUGCAUUAUUUUGCUACGACAUUGGCAUCACUUACGGUACAACUGUGGAAGGGCAAUUUGCAUGUUUUAACAUUAAUUAUAAAAUAACGUUCCAUUCUAAUUUUUAAAUAACUUAUUCUGUUUGAAAGUAUUCUUAUAUUAUAAAAAAUGUAAUAAAAAUAGAGACAAGCUUCGAUGCUUGAUUCAUAUUAUGAUGAAAACUUAAACUUAGCUUAGCUUUAUUUUCUAAAGUUUUUCCAUUGUGCUUGUAUGUUGAUUCUGAAAAUACUACAUUUCCACUUCAUACUGAAAUCCUCUUUAUGGUAAUGGAAUCAACUUUGUAUUCGAUGCUUUUUACGCAUUUGUGUUUUAUCAUUUGAUCUAGAAUGUGUUUGGAAUACGGACUAACGGAAUAUGUAUUUCUAAUGUGACGUACGUAUGUACAUAUAUUAAGUAAAAUUGUAGCUAUAAACGCGAUUUCACGGUACUGCAGCAUAAUUUUACUAUUUGCUUAACUCUUAGCCACGAAGUGUACAUAAUUUCAUGAAAUUAUAAUCAAUAGAGGAAAUCGUAAAGAAGGAAUCAUAGAAGAAAUCAGAAUAGACGUACUUAGUAAUACGCUUAGUAAAUUUCUGGUAAAAUGUCAGUUGAAAAUAUAAAUAACGUUAUAUACAUUAUCGUGUGUUGCAUUAGAAUAUCAAUGAUUUUACAUAGUUUGUGACUAUGUAAACAAGUAAUGCUAAAGUUUUCGUGAAAAGCAAGCAGUAGGAAAGUCAUACCAGUAUACAUAUUUUAGCGUAAGCAUAUUAAAAAAUGUACGUUUAACAGGUGUAUUUCAACUCAUACGUACAUGUAUCUAUAUCUAACAGAAAAUUUAUUUACCUCGAUAAUUACGUAUUUGCACAUAAAUGUUACAUUAUGUUGUAUAUUAUAUUAUACGUAUUUGAAAAUCAAAUAUCGAUUGGAAUUAAGAAUUGAUUAUAAACUAUAGACUCUACAUGUGAGAUAGAAAAGAGAAAAGAACAAAGAUCAAGGAAAAAUAAUAAAUUCUUGAAAUCGUCGAUAAAAUUUCAUCGAAUCUAGUAUUAUUUCUUAAUCAAUAUUCAAACUUUCUAGCUUAACGUAGCCAGCCAGUUGUAACCAUAUCUCUUUCAAAAAUGUUUUAUGCACGCCACGACGUUCGAAUAGAUUUUGUAAGCACGAGUUUGUCCAUUUAACCUAAAGGUUUGCACCUUUUCAAGCUGGAUAUCGUACUGCGGCUGUCGUCACUAAAUAGCAAACUAUACUCGGCGUUCAUUGUAUGCCAAUAUACAGACAGAACAGGGGGACACACGAAUAUCAAUGUAAAGCGAGACGGGUCCUGAACUAGGAGCAAUCUCGACAGUGCAUCGCCCAACGGAUGACAGGUAUCGACCUGGAUCAACAUCGUUUUCCUGUGAAGUGCCACCAACCCUGUCCUGUUCUAUCCCUCCUUCCCUUCCCUUCGAACUUGUCUCUCUCGCUUGAUCUCUCCAUGUUGCUUUCUCUUUCUUCCUCUAUACCGUUCCUUCCUGUAUGUUCGCCGCACAUCUCUUCCUAGUCUAUAACCCAGGGCGUGUGUGUACACGCUUCCACGGACAGAGAGAGAAUUAUUAUCCGGCCACUCUACUCCGCUACCUACCGUGUUUCUUGAUUACUAUCGGCGCAGCUGCGCCCACAAUUUGUGUUUCCCGUCAACUGUGCGUAAGAGAGCCGUCCGUCAACGUCGUACCCAUAACGAUGCCAGCACCCUCCGCUAAGACGCCGCUGAUAGUUUGAUAUAGACACAUAUUCAUCAUGACCUCUGCUGUGUGCGGAUUCCUUUGCAUAUGAAUUUAUUCUUCUAAAGCGGCACUUCCUUCUUACGAAUAAAUCUUCUAGUUUUUUUUCCAUCAAAUCAUUCACAUGUAAAGUGAGCUAAGGUUUUAUGACUCUUUUUUUCAUCGACCAAUUGAUAAUUUAUUUAAAUCCUAAUAGCAGAUCGUUAAACUGUUAUAUAAAAGAUGUAGUGUAAAAUAUUCAUUGCAGAUAGAACGUUAUAUAAACUAUACAUACGUAUGUCGUUUUAAGUUCUACUUGCUAUUUCUUCAAUUCUUUCGUUCUUUAAUUCUUUAGUAUUAUACUUUACACGUCAUUAUGCAUGAAUAUUCAGGCGAAAUUGUUUAGAAUAAUUACACACGUCUUAUAACUUUAACCUAUACUUAUAGAUACAUAUAUCUAUCUGUAUGUUCAAAAUAAUGUAUUGCGUGUCAUAGAUAUCAUCAAAAAGAGAAAAUCUAUUGUAAAUUUGAAGGCUGAUGAUUUUUAAAAUAGUGUACACAUACAUAUCCAUAUCUCCUUCCGCUGCGAACUUACGAAUUCGACAGAGCAAUACAGGCAACUAUCUAAAAGUAAAUGCUCGGAACUGACCGACAUUUUUGGUAACAUUAGAAAAUUGCGACCUUGUGUUCCAGCAACGCCAUACCAGUGAUAACAUUAUGAAAAACGUGUUUAUGUGACCCUGUGGUGUACAUCGAACGAUGCUAAUGCCGUCGACAUGUCGAAUUUGAAAGGUCAUACGCUGAUCAUGGGUGAUGCGAGAGACACGAGUUCGCAGUUUUGAAAACGUCUCGAUAUCAACUACAUACAAGGAUAUGUAAUAAAAAAGUAGGUUUCUAUUUGUUAAAUUUAAUACGGCCUUCACAACCCAUUUCUAGGUGAUCGUAAGGUCAAAUAAACAAGGGUAUACUUACAUAGUACGUGCACCUCAGUAUCAUACAAUUCUUGUCUGAAAUAUUUUUUUUUUAUAUGAUUCGUAUUUCUUGAGAUAUGUAUUUAACUGUUCUCGGUUAAACCGGACACGUUAUAUGUAUGCGUAUUAUAACCGGAUGUUUUUUUUUUGAUUGAAAACACAUUGCUCUAUACUUGUUAUAUUUACAAAUUAUCUUAUAUUGUCAACAUUAUAGAUUUGGUACUGACAAAUUGUUUCUUGUAUAAGUAUAACUUUGUAACGAAUAAUGAACAAUUAUAUGUACCAUUAUUCGAAGAUUACAUUUUUCAAAAGGUA